rnacentral:rRNA from 1 species
UACGGAGGGUCCGAGCGUUAUCCGGAAUCAUUGGGUUUAAAGGGUGCGUAGGUGGGCAAGUAAGUCAGUGGUGAAAUCUCCGGGCUUAACCCGGAAACUGCCAUUGAUACUAUUUGUCUUGAAUACUGUGGAGGUCAGCGGAAUAUGUCAUGUAGCGGUGAAAUGCUUAGAUAUGACAUAGAACACCAAUUGCGAAGGCAGCUGGCUACACAAAUAUUGACACUGAGGCACGAAAGCGUGGGGAUCAAACAGG